ACUUAAAUUGAAGAGUUUGAUCAUGGCUCAGAUUGAACGCUGGCGGCAGGCCUAACACAUGCAAGUCGGACGGUAGCACAGAGAGCUUGCUCUUGGGUGACGAGUGGCGGACGGGUGAGUAAUGUCUGGGGAUCUGCCCGAUAGAGGGGG
rnacentral:rRNA from 1 species